rnacentral:siRNA from 1 species
AACUCAACGAAUCAAGACUUUCCG